UACGAAGGGGGCUAGCGUUGCUCGGAAUUACUGGGCGUAAAGGGCGCGUAGGCGGCACUGUUAGUCAGGCGUGAAAGUCCUGGGCUCAACCUGGGAACUGCGCUUGAUACGGCAGAGCUAGAGGAUGGAAGAGGCUCGCGGAAUUCCCAGUGUAGAGGUGAAAUUCGUAGAUAUUGGGAGGAACACCAAUGGCGAAGGCAGCUCGCUGGGACGGUACUGACGCUGAGACGCGAAAGCGUGGGGAGCAAACAGG
rnacentral:rRNA from 1 species